rnacentral:rRNA from 1 species
AUUGAACGCUGGCGGAAUGCUUUACACAUGCAAGUCGAACGGCAGCACGGGGGCAACCCUGGUGGCGAGUGGCGAACGGGUGAGUAAUACAUCGGAACGUGCCCGGUCGCGGGGGCUAACGUAGCGAAAGAUACGAAAAUACCGCAUACGAUCUGAGGAUGAACGGGGGGGACCAUCGGGCCUUGCGAGAUCGGACGGGCCGAUGUCCGAUUAGGUAGUUGGUGGGGUAAAGGCCUACCAAGCCGACGAUCUGUAGCUGGUCUGAGAGGACGACCAGCCACACUGGAACUGAGACACGGCCCAGACUCCUACGGGAGGCAGCAGUGGGGAAUAUUGGACAAUGGGCGCAAGCCUGAUCCAGCCAUUCCGCGUGCGUGACGAAGGCCUUCGGGUUGUAAAGUGCUUUUGUAUGGAACGAAAAGGCUCUGGCUAAUACCUGGGGCUCAUGACGGUACCGAAAGAAUAAGCACCGGCUAACUUCGUG